rfam:Schistosoma margrebowiei strain Zambia genome assembly, scaffold: SMRZ_contig0003512
AUCCAUCUGACGAGUCCCAAAUAGGACGAAACGCGUGUCCUGGAU